GGCAGCAUUUUAGUUUGCUUGCAAACUAAAGAUGGCGACCGGCGCACGGGUGAGUAACACGUAUCCAACCUACCGAUAACUCUGGAAUAGCCUUUCGAAAGAAAGAUUAAUACCGGAUAGUAUACGAAUAUCGCAUGAUAUUUUUAUUAAAGAAUUUCGGUUAUCGAUGGGGAUGCGUUCCAUUAGUUUGUUGGCGGGGUAACGGCCCACCAAGACUACGAUGGAUAGGGGUUCUGAGAGGAAGGUCCCCCACAUUGGAACUGAGACACGGUCCAAACUCCUACGGGAGGCAGCAGUGAGGAAUAUUGGUCAAUGGGCGCAGGCCUGAACCAGCCAAGUAGCGUGAAGGAUGACUGCCCUAUGGGUUGUAAACUUCUUUUAUAUGGGAAUAAAGUUUUCCACGUGUGGAAUUUUGUAUGUACCAUAUGAAUAAGGAUCGGCUAACUCCGUGCCAGCAGCCGCGGUAAUACGGAGGAUCCGAGCGUUAUCCGGAUUUAUUGGGUUUAAAGGGAGCGUAGGUGGAUUGUUAAGUCAGUUGUGAAAGUUUGCGGCUCAACCGUAAAAUUGCAGUUGAAACUGGCAGUCUUGAGUACAGUAGAGGUGGGCGGAAUUCGUGGUGUAGCGGUGAAAUGCUUAGAUAUCACGAAGAACUCCGAUUGCGAAGGCAGCUCACUAGACUGUC
rnacentral:rRNA from 1 species